rnacentral:rRNA from 1 species
GACGAACGCUGGCGGCGUGCCUAAUACAUGCAAGUUGAGCGAUGAAGAUUGGUGCUUGCACCAAUUUGAAGAGCAGCGAACGGGUGAGUAACGCGUGGGGAAUCUGCCUUUGAGCGGGGGACAACAUUGGGAAACGAAUGCUAAUACCGCAUAACAACUUUAAACAUAAGUUUUAAGUUUGAAAGAUGCAAUUGCAUCACUCAAAGAUGAUCCCGCGUUGUAUUAGCUAGUUGGUGAGGUAAAGGCUCACCAAGGCGAUGAUACAUAGCCGACCUGAGAGGGUGGGCGGCCAGCUUGGGACGGAGACCCGCCCCAAACUCCUACGGGUGGCAGCAGUAGGGAAUCUUCGGCAAUGGGCGGAAGUCUGACCGAGCAACGCCGCGUGAGUGAAGAAGGUUUUCGGGUCGUGAAACUCUGUUGGUGGGGAAGAACGUUGGUGAGAGUGGAAAGCUCAUCAAGUGACGGUAACUACCCAGAAAGGGACGGCUAACUACGUG